AGCCACCUGGGAAGCCCCAUCUUUUAAUAAACACAGGCAAAUUGAUAGCUUCCAAAUGUCAUUGUUCAAAGGAAUGGGGAUAUUUAGAUCAUCUUUGCAUUUUUGGCAGAGGGAGUAAAUGUGCGAUGGGGAGGAGGCAGGUUUGGGAAGGAAACUCUAGGCUGCUCAGGAAAAGCUGUGGAAAGAUACUUGGAGAGAAAGUGGAUUACAUUCAUUCCAACAGAAGGUGCUGUUGAACAAUUCCCAAGAAAAGCAAAGAGAUCAAGAGUGGAGACAGUAAGAUUCCUAGAGGCAGCCCCAGGGAAAUGACUACUUCUAAAAUUGUUCUAGGCACAUUGUAGGUGCUCAGUUAAGUGUUUAAUGACAAAAAAAAAAAAAAAAAAAAAAAAAAAAAAAUCGUGAUGAGUUGGCUGUGGAGAUGGUAUCUAGAUCAGGCAUCUUAGAAAGUAGACCUGGAAAUAAAGGAACUUUUACAUUAUUUGAAGAGAAUUAAAUGGAAUUAUUUGGGUGACCAAGAAACCACACUUAGUAUACGGCAGAUACUCAAAAAAUAUUAGUUGCAUUCUAUUUUUUACUUUUUACUUCUUUAGACUGUAAGAGUAAGUGGGGAAUAAAAUUAGAACUAAAGGAUAGUUUUACCUUUAUGAGUUAAAAUAGAGAGCUGAGUUAACCAGUAGAGCUUUCUGAAAUGAUGGAAAUAUUCUUCACCUGUUACUGACUGUUAGGCGUCUGACCCCAAGAAAGGUUCUCCUGUGUGAUGUUAUUUGAGCCAAUAGACUGAGAUGGACUUUGGUUCAGAAGAAAAGGAAAGCUUUUUUAAAUAUUCAUUUAUUAUUUUUAUUUAUUUAUUGGCUGUGCCGGGUCUUAAUUGCAACACGUGGGAUCUUCUUUGUUGUGGCAAUGCAGGAUCCUUAGUUGCUGCUUAUGAACUCUUCACUGUGGCAGAUGGAAUCCAGUUCCCUAACCAGGGAUGAAUCGAGGCCCCCUGCCUUAGGGAGCGUGGAGUCGUAGCCACUGGAUCACCAAGAAAGUCCCAGGCAAGUUCUGUUCUUUGGUCAAAGAAUGGAAAGAUGUAAGCUUCAGCUCUGGAGCACAGGCAGUCCCUGAGAAGCCGUGGGUAGGCUGCUUUUCCGGGAAUUCAGCAGCAGGGAGGGACGCGUGGAGGGUGGAGUUCUCGCGAGGUUCAGGGUCCAGCUCUCAGGGCCUGCUCUCUGCCGCCAUCUUGAAUUGCAGCCCUGGGUCCAGAGUUUCCACCUCGGUCCGGAGCUGAAGCAACAAGCCUAGCUGUUUGGCACUGAGAACCCUGGUCUGAAGCGCCGAGUUCAAGGCCUCUGCCUGCUGCACCCUACGAGCAGGUGAAACUAGAAUGAGCUCCAAGGAAAACUAAAGGCAGGACUUGACAAGUCAUCUGUUCAUGGAAGACACUUCCGGAGAUAACCUUCAACAUUUCCAGUGGAGGAUCCAGUCCCUGCAGGAAGUGCCUUGCAGAACCUCGGCAUGCUUAUUAAAGAGCAAAUGUUCUGAGAGAGCAGGAAAUGGUUUCUGUCUCCUUUUCCAGUCAUGUGUACCCUCUGGGGCACACCUGCUCCACUCCCAUGCCGCCUGUUGCUUCUGUGGGGUUGACAGUGGUGGGGGUGGUGUGCAGAGUUUUAUUUACUUUGUUACAUUAUUUACGUUUUCGGAUUAUUCCUGGGAUGAAUUGCUAUGAAGCCCACAUUUAAUUAGCAUAAACUUCGGUAACAGCUUAAUAUAAAUUAAAUUUCAAGUCGUCUGUCUUUGAGAAAUAUUAGGAUUUAUUAGUGGGUCCCCCCAAAAACUAAUUCAUCUGCAUGGAUACAUUUCAGCCUUAAGUAAUGGAGGAAACUUUGUGUGCUAUUAUCUGUAAUUAUAUUGAGCACAUCCCCUUCUUCCCCUCUCCCCUUUCUGUAUCCUCUGAUGAUUAGCCUGAUGGGAGAAGCCUUGUCUUUGCCCAAGGCCUUAGGAAAGCAGUAAUGGUCCCCAAGAGAGAAAUUGGCUGUACUGAGAGAUAAAGGAGGGAAAGGAGGAAGAGAGUGAAAAUAAGGAAAUGGUCAGGUCACAGCCCAUGACUUAUAAAAACAUGUUGAAGUGAAAAGAAAUGAACAUGUUAAAUCUAAGAAGUAUGAAAUGGCUUUCUCAUAAAUCUCUAAAUGGCUGAAAGAAACCGCACAGUAGUUAAGCAUUCCUGCUUGUGCUGUGGGCCAGGAAAAAGACAGUGCGUGCUCUGUGCUGUGGCCAAAUUAAUCUCCUAGAAGAACAGCUUGAUCAUGUCAUUCCUGUGCUCAAGAACAAACACUUAAGGGAAUUGGGAGAAUUCUGAGUCCCAAUUUUGCCAUUUGUCCAUUUGACCUUGGGUAAUGCACUAGCCUCUUGUUGCUUCAGUUCGUUCAUGUCUUAAAAGGUAAAGUGAUGAAACCUACCUCUCGUAAUUAUAAGGAUGACACAUAAUAAUGUAGGUAAAACUCUUAGCACAGUGAUGCAUAAUCAAAUCAUCAAUGCUUGUUGUUAUUAAUAGAUAAGGUACGUCUUUCUUGUCAUAGCAUUCAAGGUCUUUUACCAUCUCUCAUCUACCUGUCUUUAAGCAGGAUGUCCUACCAUUCGACUCCAGGAGAUCUUUCCUCCAACUAAAGCAGUACCAUGCAUUACAACUUCAUGUGUGUUCCAUUUCCUUUAUUACCUAGUAAUCCCUUUUUGCGUAAGAGAUGAGAUCUUAGUUUCAGAACUCCCAGUGACCAGGUGAGUCCUUAUAAAAUGCAGAUGCAUCCCUACUUAUAAAAAGACUAGGUUCACAAAACCUGAAAAUUUAAGCCCAUGUGUUUGUAAAUCCAUAGUGUUUUUA